UACGAAGGGGGCUAGCGUUGUUCGGAAUUACUGGGCGUAAAGGGCGCGUAGGCGGCUCUGAGAUAGUUGAGUGUGAAAGGCCUGGGCUCAACCCGGGAACUGCACCCAAUACUGCAGGGCUUGAGUGUGGGAGAGGAUAGUGGAAUUCCCAGUGUAGAGGUGAAAUUCGUAGAUAUUGGGAAGAACACCAGUGGCGAAGGCGGCUAUCUGGACCACAACUGACGCUGAGGCGCGAAAGCGUGGGGAGCAA
rnacentral:rRNA from 1 species